GGGUGAACCUGCGGAAGGAUCAUUAAAGAGUAAGGGUGCUCAGCGCCCGACCUCCAACCCUUUGUUGUUAAAACUACCUUGUUGCUUUGGCGGGACCGCUCGGUCUCGAGCCGCUGGGGAUUCGUCCCAGGCGAGCGCCCGCCAGAGUUAAACCAAACUCUUGUUAUUUAACCGGUCGUCUGAGUAAAAAUUUUGAAUAAAUCAAAACUUUCAACAACGGAUCUCUUGGUUCUCGCAUCGAUGAAGAACGCAGCGAAAUGCGAUAAGUAAUGUGAAUUGCAGAAUUCAGUGAAUCAUCGAAUCUUUGAACGCACAUUGCGCCCCUUGGUAUUCCGAGGGGCAUGCCUGUUCGAGCGUCAUUACACCACUCAAGCUAUGCUUGGUAUUGGGCGUCGUCCUUAGUUGGGCGCGCCUUAAAGACCUCGGCGAGGCCACUCCGGCUUUAGGCGUAGUAGAAUUUAUUCGAACGUCUGUCAAAGGAGAGGAACUCUGCCGACUGAAACCUUUAUUUUUCUAGGUUGACCUCGGAUCAGGUAGGGAUACCCGCUGAACUUAAGCAUAUCAAUAGCCGGGAGGAA
rnacentral:rRNA from 1 species